UUAAUUUUCCUUUUGUAAUAAUUUUUAUGGAUAAAUUUUUUUGUGAAAGAAAUACCCUAUAUGCUAAAAGAGUAUCACUGGGAUCUGCUACAGGUUACAUCUUUGCUGUCCUAAAUUUAGGGAUAAGUUAGUAUAAUGUCUUUUCUACCAUAGUACUAUAACAAUUGUUUCUUAAUGCCAAUUCUAGAGCCGUUACAACACAUGGCAAUAGCAACAUAUAUGAUCCAUGUCAAUUAAAGGCUCUUGUCCAAAUGCAAGAUGUUGCUUCAGCCAUUAAUGCUUUACAAUUUUAUGCAAAUGUUCAGCCAACCAUAAGGGGGAGGAAUGUUUAUGUCCAGUUUUCCUCACAUCAAGAACUAACAUCAAUGGAUCAAAAUCAAGGGCGUGGAGAUGAGGUUGGCAUUUUAGAGUUUUCAUGUUUGAGUUAAAAGUUAUUACUGAAAGUUCAUGGUGUCAAUUGAUAAUUG